rnacentral:lncRNA from 1 species
GGCCGAAAUCAAUGCAAAUUCAGAUUCAACAAGCAAUUUAGCAACAAAUCCAACAACAGAUCACAAAUUCAAUUUCACAAGAUCAGUUCACAAAUCAACAAAUCCAGAAUAUGAAAUUGACGAAGAAGAAGAAUCAGAUUUCAAUUUUGAAUUUCAACCACAACAACAAUAUGAAGAAUUAGACAGAAAUUGCAGAUCAAGCACGAAUUCAAAAUUCAAAUCCAGAAAUUCAAUAAAAAAUAA